rnacentral:rRNA from 1 species
UGACACAGGGAGGUAGUGACAAGAAAUAACAAUACUGGGGCUCACACGCCUUGUAAUUGGAAUGAUGGGAACCUAAACCCCUUCCAGAGUAUCAAUUGGAGGGCAAGUCUGGUGCCAGCAGCCGCGGUAAUUCCAGCUCCAAUAGCGUAUAUUAAAUUUGUUUCAGUUAAAAAGCUCGUAGUUGAAUUUCUGCCGCAUCGCGGCGGCCCUCCCGUCCCAGCUGAAUGGCGGA